rnacentral:rRNA from 1 species
CGUGAGAUGUUGGGUUAAGUCCCGCAACGAGCGCAACCCUCGCCCUGUGUUGCCAGCACGUCGUGGUGGGAACUCACGGGGGACCGCCGGGGUCAACUCGGAGGAAGGUGGGGAUGACGUCAGAUCAUCAUGCCCCUUACGUCCAGGGCUUCACGCAUGCUACAAUGGCCGGUACAACGGGAUGCGACACCGCGAGGUGGAGCGGAUCCCUUAAAACCGGUCUCAGUUCGGAUUGAGUCUGCAACCCGACUCCAUGAAGU